rnacentral:rRNA from 1 species
UACAGAGGGUGCGAGCGUUAAUCGGAAUUACUGGGCGUAAAGCGCACGUAGGCGGCUUGGUAUGUCGGGUGUGAAAUCCCCGGGCUCAACCUGGGAACUGCAUCCGAAACUGCCUUGCUAGAGUAUGGGAGAGGGAGGUGGAAUUUCCGGUGUAGCGGUGAAAUGCGUAGAUAUCGGAAGGAACAUCAGUGGCGAAGGCGACUUCCUGGACCAAUACUGACGCUCAGGUGCGAAAGCGUGGGGAGCAAACAGG